GAUCCUGGCUCAGGAUGAACGCUAGCGACAGGCUUAACACAUGCAAGUCGAGGGGCAGCACGGUGUAGCGAUACACUGGUGGCGACCGGCGCACGGGUGAGUAACACGUGUGCAACCAACCCCGUACCGGGAGAUAACCCGCGGAAACGUGGACUAACAUCCCAUGAUACUCGAGAGCCGCAUGGCUCUCGAUUUAAAAUUCCGGUGGUACGGGACGGGCACGCGCGACAUUAGGUAGUUGGCGGGGUAAUGG
rnacentral:rRNA from 1 species